ensembl:lncRNA
AGAAUUAUAACGACAUCUGCUGUAGAGUCCCAACCCCCUGGGACCUGCAAACAACAAUGUCACAAAGAAGGAUUUCAAUGUUUUUUGCUCCAAAAGUGGUUGGCAGCCAAGGAGGUAUGAUGGCAGAUAAGGAUGCAGUCAGGGUUCAUGCAGGAGACCAAAGGGAGGAGAGUAGAUAAGGGCAGAGUCAGCAUACAUAGAUGCAGCUGCCAGUGAUGCUGCUGACCAGAGUGAGGACAGUGCAAGUGCAAGUGCAGGUACCUGUAGGCUAUGUGAGGAGUAUCUAUACCAAUAUCUCUAGUCCAGAAUUGUAUAAUAUUCAGCAGUGUAUCUCAGUAUACAUCCUUGCCAGUGCCCAUUAAUUGCAAGUUGUGGAUAGCAGAGUUUUAUUCAAUCAUGUUUAAAAAAGGGGGGAGAAGGAGGCCAUAGCUUUAUUUCGCUUUUUUCCCCUUUUUGGAAACACAGGUGGCUCAGGGUCAGGGAGCACAGGGAACCUGUUAGGAAAGAAUGAUUGAGGGACACGAGAAACAGGCCCAAAGCAACCCAGAC